rnacentral:tRNA from 1 species
GCACGGAUGGCGGAGUGGUCUAAGGCGCCAGACUCAAGUGGUAUCUUCGCGCGAGUAAGUGCGGUGGGGCGUUCUGGUAUCCGUAUGCAUGCGUGGGUUCGAAUCCCACUUCGUGCA